rnacentral:tRNA from 1 species
GGUAAAAUGGUCGAGUAAAGGCAGUAAAUUGUAAAUUUACCUACGAACUUUUGUUCUUUUACCA